rnacentral:rRNA from 1 species
UUCUGGUUGAUCCUGCCGGAGGCUACCGCUAUUGGAGUUCGAUUAAGCCAUGCGAGUCGAGAGUCUUAGGGACUCGGCGUACCGCUCAGUAACACGUGGGUAACCUGCCCUAUGCUGGGGAAUAACCUCGGGAAACUGAGAAUAAUACCCCAUAGUUCACCACGCCUGGAACGGUGGGUGGAUGAAAGCUCCGGCGGCAUAGGAUGGGCCUGCGACGUAUCAGGUUGUAGGGGGUGUAACGUACCCUCUAGCCAUCAACGCGUACGGGUGUUGGGAGACAUAGCCCGGAGAUGGAUUCUGAGACACGAAUCCAGACCCUACGGGGUGCAGCAGGCGCGAAAACUUGGCAAUGCGAGCAAUCGUGACCAGGGAACUCCAAGUGGCUGGGGUAAUACCCAGUUUUUUCUUGACUCUUCAAAGGUCUUGGAAUAAGGGGUGGGUAAGGACGGUGCCAGCCGCCGCGGUAAUACCGGCGCCUCAAGUGGUAGUCGCUUUUAUUGGGCCU